UACGUAGGUCCCGAGCGUUGUCCGGAUUUAUUGGGCGUAAAGCGAGCGCAGGUGGUAUAUUAAGUCUGGUGUAAAAGGCAGUGGCUCAACCAUUGUAUGCAUUGGAAACUGGUAGACUUGAGUGCAGGAGAGGAGAGUGGAAUUCCAUGUGUAGCGGUGAAAUGCGUAGAUAUAUGGAGGAACACCGGUGGCGAAAGCGGCUCUCUGGCCUGUAACUGACACUGAGGCUCGAAAGCGUGGGGAGCAAACAGG
rnacentral:rRNA from 1 species